AAGCGCUUAUGACCAGACUUGCGCCGGGUUGAUCAUCCAGUGUUCUCACUGGUGCACUCUUCCCGGUUCAGGCCAGCAUCGGUUCUGUUGGGGGCAUAAAGGCAGUGGGAACGUAUCUCUUUCGGGAGUGUUAUAGCCCAUUGUGCAAUACCCCCUACGGGACCGAGGACCGCGCUUCGGCAAGGAUGCUGGCGUAAUGGUCAUUAGCGA
rnacentral:rRNA from 1 species